rnacentral:rRNA from 1 species
GCUUCCUACGGGAGGCAGCAGUGGGGAAUUUUGGACAAUGGGGGCAACCCUGAUCCAGCAAUGCCGCGUGAGUGAAGAAGGCCUUCGGGUUGUAAAGCUCUUUUGUCAGGGAAGAAAAGGCUGCGGUUAAUACCUGCGGCCGAUGACGGUACCUGAAGAAUAAGCACCGGCUAACUACGUGCCAGCGGCCGCGGUAAUACGUAGGGUGCAAGCGUUAAUCGGAAUUACUGGGCGUAAAGCGUGCGCAGGCGGUUUUGUAAGACUGUCGUGAAAUCCCCGGGCUCAACCUGGGAAUUGCGAUGGUGACUGCAAGGCUAGAGUUUGGCAGAGGGGGGUAGAAUUCCACGUGUAGCAGUGAAAUGCGUAGAGAUGUGGAGGAACACCGAUGGCGAAGGCAGCCCCCUGGGUCAAAACUGACGCUCAUGCACGAAAGCGUGGGGAGCAAACAGGAUUAGAUACCCUGGUAGUCCACGCCCUAAACGAUGUCUACUAGUUGUCGGGUCUUAAUUGACUUGGUAACGCAGCUAACGCGUGAAGUAGACCGCCUGGGGAGUACGGUCGCAAGAUUAAAACUCAAAGGAAUUGACGGAAGC